rnacentral:rRNA from 1 species
AGUGAACGCUGGCGGUAGGCCUAGCACAUGCAAGUCGAACGGCAGCACAGUAAGAGCUUGCUCUUACGGGUGGCGAGUGGCGGACGGGUGAGGAAUACAUCGGAAUCUACUUUUUCGUGGGGGAUAACGUAGGGAAACUUACGCUAAUACCGCAUACGACCUACGGGUGAAAGCAGGGGAUCUUCGGACCUUGCGCGAUUGAAUGAGCCGAUGUCGGAUUAGCUAGUUGGCGGGGUAAAGGCCCACCAAGGCGACGAUCCGUAGCUGGUCUGAGAGGAUGAUCAGCCACACUGGAACUGGGACACGGUCCAGACUCCUACGGGAGGCAGCAGUGGGGAAUAUUGGACAAUGGGCGCAAGCCUGAUCCAGCCAUACCGCGUGGGUGAAGAAGGCCUUCGGGUUGUAAAGCCCUUUUGUUGGGAAAGAAAAGCAGCAGGUUAAUACCCCGCUGUUCUGACGGUACCCAAAGAAUAAGCACCGGCUAACUUCGUG